rnacentral:rRNA from 1 species
GACGUAGGGCGCGAGCGUUGUCCGGAUUUAUUGGGCGUAAAGAGCUCGUAGGCGGCUUGUCGCGUCGUUCGUGAAAACCCGGGGCUCAACUCCGGGCUUGCGGGCGAUACGGGCAGGCUAGAGUUCGGUAGGGGAGACUGGAAUUCCUGGUGUAGCGGUGAAAUGCGCAGAUAUCAGGAGGAACACCGGUGGCGAAGGCGGGUCUCUGGGCCGAUACUGACGCUGAGGAGCGAAAGCGUGGGGACGCGAACAGG